ACAGUCUCAGAAUAUACGGAGAAAAAUCUUUUUGAAGAAGAUAAACUUUUUUGGAAGAAGAUAAACUUUUUUUGAAGCAACAUGGACAAGCCGGCAUGCAAAUGCGGAGAUCCCAAGUGCGUGUGCACCACACAGUGCAAGUGUGCCACCGGCGGAUGCCCCUGUGACAGGUGCAAGAAGUAGCAGCUCGCCUGGGAGACUCCGGCGCUUGAUCCAUGGACGCUUCAAGUCGGCCUCAAACCUGAACGGGUGCUGCAAAGAAAAAAAAAUGCAGUAGCUAUUCUUGUUUCGAGAGCCAAUAAAAAAAGGUAGAAAAUGAA